CCUACGGGAGGCAGCAGUGGGGGAUAUUGCACAAUGGGGGAAACCCUGAUGCAGCGACGCCGCGUGUGGGAAGACGGUCCUCUGGAUUGUAAACCACUGUCCCCAGGGACGAAGAUGACGGUACCUGACUAAGAAGCCCCGGCUAACUACGUGCCAGCAGCCGCGGUAAUACGUAGGGGGCAAGCGUUAUCCGGAUUUACUGGGUGUAAAGGGAGCGUAGACGGCAAUACAAGUCGGAAGUGAAAUACCCGGGCUCAACCUGGGAACUGCUUUGGAAACUGUAUGGCUGGAGUGCUGGAGAGGUAAGCGGAAUGCCUAGUGUAGCGGUGAAAUGCGUAGAUAUUAGGAGGAACACCAGUGGCGAAGGCGGCUUACUGGACAGUAACUGACGUUGAGGCUCGAAAGCGUGGGGAGCAAACAGGAUUAGAUACCCCAGUAGUC
rnacentral:rRNA from 1 species